UUACUCUCAUCAUACAUCAAAAUGGUUUUUUGUGUAGUUUUACAUUGUUUUUUGUUAUAUCAUUGAAGAGGUCAAAAUAAGUCUUCUUGGAGAGAUUCGGCUCUGCAAUGCUUCCAAAUGUAUAUAGAGCAACUUUGUGACUGAUGAGACCAUGAGAAUCGUUGUGGUCAUGUUUGAUGAGGCUGGUAGAACUGCCAAGUCCGUGGUAGAUGAGCCCGUUUUGCCUUCUAUUAUAGAAGCACUGAUUGGCAUAAAACACGUGGAUGACGAUUUCAUCGAGAACGUUGGUGGCAACCCAUAUUUAGAAAAUAUAUUGUGUGAUGUUAACUGUUUUAAACCUAUGAUGUGCGAUUCUAAGACCAAAUUUAUUACUUGAUUUUUUCUUU